rnacentral:rRNA from 1 species
GAUGAACGCUAGCGGCAGGCCUAAUACAUGCAAGUCGAACGGGGUAGCAAUACCCAGUGGCGCACGGGUGCGUAACGCGUAUGCAACCUACCUUUUGCUGGGGGAUAGCCCGGAGAAAUCCGGAUUAAUACCGCAUAACACCUUUUGAUGGCAUCUGAGGAAGGUUAAAGAUUUAUCGGCAGAAGAUGGGCAUGCGUGCCAUUAGCUAGUUGGUGGGGUAACGGCCCACCAAGGCGACGAUGGCUAGGGGGUCUGAGAGGAUGGUCCCCCACACUGGCACUGAGAUACGGGCCAGACUCCUACGGGAGGCAGCAGUAGGGAAUAUUGGGCAAUGGGCGGAAGCCUGACCCAGCCAUGCCGCGUGCAGGAUGAAGGCCUUCUGGGUUGUAAACUGCUUUUGACAGGGAAGAAAACACCCAUGCGUGGGGAACUGACGGUACCUGUAGAAUAAGCACCGGCUAACUCCGUGCCAGCAGCCGCGGUAAUACGGAGGGUGC